rnacentral:rRNA from 1 species
GAACGGUAACAGGUCUUCGGAUGCUGACGAGUGGCGAACGGGUGAGUAAUACAUCGGAACGUGCCCGAUCGUGGGGGAUAACGGAGCGAAAGCUUUGCUAAUACCGCAUACGAUCUACGGAUGAAAGCAGGGGACCGCAAGGCCUUGCGCGGACGGAGCGGCCGAUGGCAGAUUAGGUAGUUGGUGGGAUAAAAGCUUACCAAGCCGACGAUCUGUAGCUGGUCUGAGAGGACGACCAGCCACACUGGGACUGAGACACGGCCCAGACUCCUACGGGAGGCAGCAGUGGGGAAUUUUGGACAAUGGGCGAAAGCCUGAUCCAGCCAUGCCGCGUGCAGGAUGAAGGCCUUCGGGUUGUAAACUGCUUUUGUACGGAACGAAAAGACUCCUUCUAAUAAAGGGGGUCCAUGACGGUACCGUAAGAAUAAGCACCGGCUAACUACGUGCCAGCAGCCGCGGUAAUACGUAGGGUGCAAGCGUUAAUCGGAAUUACUGGGCGUAAAGCGUGCGCAGGCGGUUAUAUAAGACAGAUGUGAAAUCCCCGGGCUCAGCCUGGGAACUGCAUUUGUGACUGUAUAGCUAGAGUACGGUAGANGGGGAUGGAAUUCCGCGUGUAGCAGUGAAAUGC